CACUAGAUGUCUGAAAGUAAGUCAUGGUCUCUUAAACCAAUUAUAGUAAAGUAACGUCUACUUCUUGUGA
rnacentral:tRNA from 1 species